UCCGGUUUGUCACCGGCAGUCUCCCUAGAGUUCCCACCAUUACGUGCUGGCAACUAAGGACAAGGGUUGCGCUCGUUACGGGACUUAACCCAACAUCUCACGACACGAGCUGACGACAGCCAUGCACCACCUGUCACCGGCCCAAAAAGGACCCCGCAUCUCUGCGGGUUUUCCGGCGAUGUCAAGCCUUGGUAAGGUUCUUCGCGUUGCGUCGAAUUAAGCAACAUGCUCCGCCGCUUGUGCGGGCCCCCGUCAAUUUCUUUGAGUUUUAACCUUGCGGCCGUACUCCCCAGGCGGAUGACUUAACGCGUUAGCUGCGCCACUCAGUCUUGCGACCGAACAGCUAGUAACCAUCGUUUACGGCGUGGACUAC
rnacentral:misc_RNA from 1 species